rnacentral:rRNA from 1 species
GAAGUUAAAAAGAGACCAGGAAGGCCCCGCAUUCAAAUAAAUCGUUAACCCACACAGGUGUGCUAAACUAGGGAAAGACAAAAAGGGAAGAAAGGAACUCGGCAAACAUAAGCCUCGCCUGUUUACCAAAAACAUCGCCUUCUGCCAAAAUCGACGUAUAGAAGGUCCUGCCUGCCCAGUGACUAUAGGUUCAAC